GAGAAAACUCGCAAGGACUGCUAACCCAUGCCUC
rnacentral:tRNA from 1 species